CCAAAUGGCGUGUUAUCUGUACGCAUUUUGAGCUAUCCACUUGGGUUUAGGGAAAGAACAUUGGGAAAGGCUUUAGUAACACUAAAAAACGACAAAAACAUGACGAUGACCAACGUCACGCGCUUAGGGAAACAAUAAACGGUUGGGUUUAGGAAAAGAACAUUGGGGAAGGCGUUA